rnacentral:rRNA from 1 species
GGGACACGUGGUAUCCUGUCUGAAUAUGGGGGGACCAUCCUCCAAGGCUAAAUACUCCUGACUGACCGAUAGUGAACCAGUACCGUGAGGGAAAGGCGAAAAGAACCCCGGCGAGGGGAGUGAAAAAGAACCUGAAACCGUGUACGUACAAGCAGUGGGAGCACGCUUAGGCGUGUGACUGCGUACCUUUUGUAUAAUGGGUCAGCGACUUAUAUUCUGUAGCAAGGUUAACCGAAUAGGGGAGCCGAAGGGAAACCGAGUCUUAACUGGGCGUUAAGUUGCAGGGUAUAGACCCGAAACCCGGUGAUCUAGCCAUGGGCAGGUUGAAGGUUGGGUAACACUAACUGGAGGACCGAACCGACUAAUGUUGAAAAAUUAGCGGAUGACUUGUGGCUGGGGGUGAAAGGCCAAUCAAACCGGGAGAUAGCUGGUUCUCCCCGAAAGCUAUUUAGGUAGCGCCUCGUGAAUUCAUCUCCGGGGGUAGAGCACUGUUUCGGCAAGGGGGUCAUCCCGACUUACCAACCCGAUGCAAACUGCGAAUACCGGAGAAUGUUAUCACGGGAGACACACGGCGGGUGCUAACGUCCGUCGUGAAGAGGGAAACAACCCAGACCGCCAGCUAAGGUCCCAAAGUCAUGGUUAAGUGGGAAACGAUGUGGGAAGGCCCAGACAGCCAGGAUGUUGGCUUAGAAGCAGCCAUCAUUUAAAGAAAGCGUAAUAGCUCACUGGUCGAGUCGGCCUGCGCGGAAGAUGUAACGGGGCUAAACCAUGCACCGAAGCUGCGGCAGCGACGCUGAUGCGUUGUUGGGUAGGGGAGCGUUCUGUAAGCCUGCGAAGGUGUGCUGUGAGGCAUGCUGGAGGUAUCAGAAGUGCGAAUGCUGACAUAAGUAACGAUAAAGCGGGUGAAAAGCCCGCUCGCCGGAAGACCAAGGGUUCCUGUCCAACGUUAAUCGGGGCAGGGUGAGUCGACCCCUAAGGCGAGGCCGAAAGGCGUAGUCGAUGGGAAACAGGUUAAUAUUCCUGUACUUGGUGUUACUGCGAAGGGGGGACGGAGAAGGCUAUGUUGGCCGGGCGACGGUUGUCCCGGUUUAAGCGUGUAGGCUGGUUUUCCAGGCAAAUCCGGAAAAUCAAGGCUGAGGCGUGAUGACGAGGCACUACGGUGCUGAAGCAACAAAUGCCCUGCUUCCAGGAAAAGCCUCUAAGCAUCAGGUAACAUCAAAUCGUACCCCAAACCGACACAGGUGGUCAGGUAGAGAAUACCAAGGCGCUUGAGAGAACUCGGGUGAAGGAACUAGGCAAAAUGGUGCCGUAACUUCGGGAGAAGGCACGCUGAUAUGUAGGUGAAGUCCCUCGCGGAUGGAGCUGAAAUCAGUCGAAGAUACCAGCUGGCUGCAACUGUUUAUUAAAAACACAGCACUGUGCAAACACGAAAGUGGACGUAUACGGUGUGACGCCUGCCCGGUGCCGGAAGGUUAAUUGAUGGGGUCAGCGCAAGCGAAGCUCUUGAUCGAAGCCCCGGUAAACGGCGGCCGUAACUAUAACGGUCCUAAGGUAGCGAAAUUCCUUGUCGGGUAAGUUCCGACCUGCACGAAUGGCGUAAUGAUGGCCAGGCUGUCUCCACCCGAGACUCAGUGAAAUUGAACUCGCUGUGAAGAUGCAGUGUACCCGCGGCAAGACGGAAAGACCCCGUGAACCUUUACUAUAGCUUGACACUGAACAUUGAGCCUUGAUGUGUAGGAUAGGUGG